ensembl:lncRNA
UUACUGCUAAGUGGUUUACAGAGCCAAAACCAUUCUCAGCGAAGUGCCCAAGGAGCUGGGAGGGAACAGAAUUAGAACAGCUGACUUUCACUGGUUAGAGGGAUAUCUCAUACCAUAUGACAUCCAGCAGAAGGAGUUUUGAAGGAGGUAGGAGUUCAUCUCUCUCUUCUGCUGCUCGGGAGGCUAGCUGGGAAUCAAUCGGUGAGCUGUGAGUAAUUGCUUGUGCAUCACUUGCUAUAUACAUUAAUGCAUAAAUUGAGAGAGAAACAUAACUAUUAUCCUUUUCUCUUUUACUAAAUUUUAUUUCAACCCCCGAGUUCUACUUUAUUUAUUUAUCCCUCCCCCCACCCCCAAUUCCCUCCUCCAUCCCACAGGGGAGGGAAGGGAAUAAGCUAACAACUGUGUGGUGAUAAGCUUCCUGCUGGGUUCAACCACAACAGCUAAAUCUGGAGUUUUAUUUUAUUUUUUCACAUUUCUACUGCUCCACUCACAAACAUUCUGGGCAGCGAGAAUACAGCAUAUAUAUGAAGCCUAGAAUUAAUUGUUUAUACAGUUAAUGAUUUAAUAAUCUAGUAACCCACAUUACCUAAUUAAUUCAGAAAAGUCUCAUUAAAACAAGUUAAACAGCUAUAUAUUGCUACAGAAUGCCUCUGAAGUAUCAGUUCCUUUUCCCUGGUGUUUUGCUCAAUUUCUCAGUGUCCUUCUGUGCACCACCUAAGAAUGACUAUUGCAAUCUCCCUCUUGAAAGAAAGAGGAUAAGAAUAAAUUGUCUCCACUCUGAGCUCUUUGUUGGUAAUCAUUUCUUCCUCUUCAGUCUUAGGUCCAUUUUUACUGAUUUUUCUAUUUUGGUGUUGCAGUUCACUUCCUUCCCGUGCAUGUCCAGCUGAGCUUUGAAAGUUGCUCAGUAGAUUCCACAGAAUCACAAAAUUGUAGGAGCUGGAAAGGACCUCCAGAGAUCAUCAAAAUAAGCUCAGUGUAGCAUGAUUCAUAGCGUACUGUUGAUACCCUGCACCUUCUGCUUAAAAUAAGGACUCCUUCCAAUUAUGAAAAAUAUCAUAUUAAUUGAGCUACAUUUUGCAUGAUUAUUCCCUGGGAAGAUGAGAACUUCUUGCUUCACUGUACCGUAAGAAUUCAUCUGGAACAGAUCCAAUUAGGAGUGACUUUAUGGUAUACAGAGACACUGGUCUGAUGAAUUUCUAAUGUCAAACAUAUAUGCUUUACAGCAGCAUUUAUUGGUAGCUAGCACUACUCACAUCUAGUUCCAAAAGUCUGUCUCAGGUACUGCAAUUGGUGGAUGGAAUAAGGACUUGUUAUGGGAGUCUUUUGGAGUGUAGCAAGCAAUACCUAUGUACAAAUAGUUACAAGAUUUGAAGCUCCAAAACAGCAAGCCAGCGAGGAUGAUUAUCUCAUUCAUUUCCUGUAGUUGCUGACAAGUUGGUCCAAUGGACACUCACAUAGGAACAGAAAGAAGACUAUAUGCAAGUUUCUCAGGACCUAUGGAACAAAUAAGAGGUUGCAGGUGGAAGUUUCCUGGAUUGCAUCAUUACCAGUGAUGACAUGUGGUGUCACCCCUAAGAGCUGGAGUCAAAACAGUAGUCCAUGAAGUGCCAGCACGUGAAUUCCCAUCAAGAAAAAAAGUACAAGAGUCAACCUCAGCAGGGUACAUUUGGAUCUGAGAGACAGGAUGUCUUAGGAGCAGAAACAAGCAAACUACGCACUCAGAGAGGCACAGAGGUUUAUGAGUUUCAGUUGACAUAAACACGCUUACAAGGACACAGGCAUCCAUUUUAGAUAAUCCCAGUAAGUGGCAAGCAG